AUGUGGAGCCGCGGUGCUGGGACGAAUCGAAUCGGAGCCGUUGGUUAUCUGAAUCCCAAUCCAUUCCCGAAGUGUCGUUUUGCAGAACAGAGUGCACUCUGCUCCGUCACGUCACCGUGCUUCUGCUUCAGCUUCAGUAGUGCUCACAUCUCCCCCACCCUCCCAAGAAGAGGAGCAAAGGCCGGCGAGAGAGCAGAGCAGAUCCUUCCCGUUCCCGGCGACAACCGUUGGAGAGGAAGACAGCCGGCGACAGCCAGCGACCGCAUCGGCAUCGCCGUCUUCUUCCCCACCCCACCCCACCCAGUUUGCCAUCAACAGCACAUCAUGCAGAGGCCCAGCAAACUGCCUGCCGUCUCUCUCCCCGGACGCCCUACCUUUUUCGUACCCCAAGGCUGGCCUGACCUCCCAGAUUGCUUGCUUCACUCCAUCGUUGAUCGGCUGGGCUCCUUCCGAGACCUUCUUGGCUUCGCCGCGACAUGCCCCUCGUGGCGUUCUGCCUUCUCCUCGUACCCAUCAAAAUCCACGUUCCUCACAAAAUUACCACCUCUCCUCAUCCAGCCCCAUAUUCGUGCACAAGGUCCGCUUCUUCCUUGUACCAGUGGUUGUCGUGAGCUAUACCCAUGUAAGGUUGUUGAUCCAGCCAACCGAAACGCCGCCCUUCGCUGCUGGAUCCCUCAAGAUACCCUGGAGAAGAUGACAUUUAUUGGAUCCUCCUAUGGUAAGCUCAUCUACUACUGCAACGGAUACUGUCGCAUCAUCGAUGUGUUCACCGGCGACGAGGUCGCAACUCCACGUCUCCCAUCCCAUGCUGGAUGUUCAAAACUUCACUUGGCUGGCAUUCUAACAGCCCCACUUGCAUCACCCAACUCACAUCUCCUUGUCAGUACCGAGUCCUUCCUGCUUGAUCUGCAUGUUGGAAACGACUCUUGGUCCGAACUCCAGCUUCCUUGUCAGUUUGUAAUAGACCAUUUUGUGGAGUUGGAUGGUCAGCUCAUUGUCUCGAAUAGCUAUGGGAGAUCCUACGCUCUGCAGCUGGCCCCUCAGCAUGGCCUGCAGGAGAUAAAAACCAAGCCUGUGGGAGGAAGGCCGGUGGUAGGAAGGCUUGUGGUUUGUGGUGAUAUGCUUCUCAUUCUCAGUUUUGGCGAGUUCCACCGCCUCGACAUGUCAACCGAGCCCGCGACACGGGUGGCAGUGGAGAAGCUGGGCGAGCGGGCACUGUUUGUAGGGGCGGAAGCGAAGAGCACGGCACUUUCUUGCAUGAGCCCGGAGCUAUGGGGAGGAAGGAGCGACAUCGUGUACUUUGCUCGUACAGCUCGACCUUGGUAUCUCUAUAGGCUGUGUGGCAGGCCAGAUCGCUUGCAGGAUAGACCAACACGACCAACACGCGUUGAACCCGCAGGCUUUGGAAGCACCCCAGUGCAGUCAUCAGUUCGGCCGCUCUGGCUGUACCCAAGCAUGUUCUACUCGGAUGGCCAAUAA
rnacentral:rRNA from 1 species